rnacentral:tRNA from 1 species
AGUCUUGUAAACCGGAAAAAGGAGAACCCCAUUCCUCCCUAAGACU